rnacentral:rRNA from 2 species
UGGAGACCCGACGUGGCCACGCCGUAAAACACACCACUUUCUGAACGUUGACCUCGGAUCAGGUAGGAAUACCCGCUGAACUUAAGCAUAUCAAUAAGCGGAGGAAAAGAAACCAACAGGGAUUGCCCCAGUAACGGCGAGUGAAGCGGCAACAGCUCAAAUUUGAAAUCUGGUCCCUAGGGCCCGAAUUGUAAUUUGUAGAGGAUGCUUUUGGCACGGUGCCUUCCGAGUUCCCUGGAACGGGACGCCAUAGAGGGUGAGAGCCCCGUCUGGUCGGAUGCCUAGCCUCUGUAAAGCUCCUUCGACGAGUCGAGUAGUUUGGGAAUGCUGCUCAAAAUGGGAGGUAUAUGUCUUCUAAAGCUAAAUAUUGGCCAGAGACCGAUAGCGCACAAGUAGAGUGAUCGAAAGAUGAAAAGCACUUUGAAAAGAGGGUUAAACAGUACGUGAAAUUGUUGAAAGGGAAGCGCCUAUGACCAGACUUGGGCCCGGUGAAUCACCCAGCGUUCUCGCUGGUGCACUUUGCCGGGCACAGGCCAGCAUCAGUUUGGCGCGGGGGAUAAAGGCUUUGGGAAUGUGGCUCCCUCGGGAGUGUUAUAGCCCAUUGUGUAAUACCCUGCGCCGGACUGAGGUACGCGCAUUGCAAGGAUGCUGGCGUAAUGGUCAUCAGCGACCCGUCUUGAAACACGGACCAAGGAGUCGUCUUCGUAUGCGAGUGUUCGGGUGUUAAACCCCUACGCGUAAUGAAAGUGAACGCAGGUGAGAGCUUCGGCGCAUCAUCGACCGAUCCUGAUGUUCUCGGAUGGAUUUGAGUAAGAGCAUACGGGGCCGGACCCGAAAGAAGGUGAACUAUGCCUGUAUAGGGUGAAGCCAGAGGAAACUCUGGUGGAGGCUCGCAGCGGUUCUGACGUGCGAAUCGAUCGUCAAAUAUGGGCAUGGGGGCGAAAGACUAAUCGAACCUUCUAGUAGCUGGUUUCCGCCGAAGUUUCCCUCAGGAUAGCAGUGUUGAACUCAGUUUUAUGAGG